rnacentral:lncRNA from 1 species
UAAAGAAGUAAAUCUCCUAGGGGUUAAAUAAAAUGACUCAACUAGAAAGUGCGUCUUCUAGAAGUGAAUAGUUUAAGUUAGGAAGUACAUCACUUAAUAAAUGAAAACUGAUAUACCCAGACAAGGAAGUGCUCUCCUAUGGAUUAAAUGAAAUGACUCAACUAGAAAGUGCUUCUUCUAGGAGUGAAUGGUUCAAGUUAGGAAGUGCAUCACCUAACAAAUGGAAACUGAAAUGCCCA